rnacentral:lncRNA from 1 species
GGCAAGGUGUGCAAGCCCCGUGCAAGCCGUGCGAGCCCCGCAUGAGGUUGUGCAAGGUGUGCAAGGCGUGCAGGCCUCCUGCAAAGUGUGCAAGGCUGUGCAACCCCCGUGCGAGGCGUGUGAAGUGUGCAAGCCCCGUGCAAGGUUGUGCGAGGCGUGCAAACCCCGUGCAAGGUGUGGAAGCCCCGCGUGAGGUUGUGCAAGGCGUGCAAGCCCUGUGCAAGCUAUGCGAGCCCCGCGUGAGGUUGUGCAAGGUGUGCAAGGUGUGCAGGCCUCCUGCGAAGUGUGCAAGCCCCCUGUGAGGUUGUGCAAGGUGUGCAGGCCUCCUGCAAAAUGUGCAAGGCUGUGCAACCCCCAUGCGAGGUGUGUGAAGUGUGCAUGCCCUGUGCAAGGUUGUGCAAGGCAUGCAAGCCCCGUGCAAGCUGUGCGAGCCCCGCAUGAGGUUGUGCAAGGUGUGCAAGGCGUGCGAGCCCUGCGUGAGGUUGUGCAAGGCGUGCAAGCUGUGCAAGGCGUGCAAGCCCCGUGCAAGCUGUGCAAGCCCCGCGUGAGGUUGUGCAAGGUGUGCAAGCCCCAUGCAAGCUGUGCAAGCCCCGCGUGAGGUUGUGCAAGGCGUGCAAGCCCCGUGCAAGCUGUGCAAGCCCCGUGUGAGG